rnacentral:ncRNA from 1 species
GAGAGCCGCAUGCAGUGAAAGCUGCACGUGCGGUUCGGCGGGGGGAUCAGGGCUGACUCUCUGAGCAGCACCAAUCCUACCCGAC